AGAAUCAACGCUGGCGGCGUGCCUAACACAUGCAAGUCGCACGAGAAAGGGGAGCAAUCCCUGAGUACAGUGGCGCACGGGUGAGUAACACGUGAAUAAUCUACCUCCGAGUGGGGAAUAACUGAGAGAAAUCUUAGCUAAUACCGCAUAAUACCCACGGGUCAAAGCAGCAAUGCGCUUGGAGAGGAGUUCGCGGCAGAUUAGUUAGUUGGCGGGGUAAUGGCCCACCAAGACGAUGAUCUGUAUCCGGCCUGAGAGGGCGCACGGACACACUGGAACUGAAACACGGUCCAGACUCCUACGGGAGGCAGCAGUGGGGAAUUUUGCGCAAUGGGGGAAACCCUGACGCAGCAACGCCGCGUGGAGGAUGAAGCCCCUUGGGUGUAAACUCCUUUCGAUCGGGAAGAUAAUGACGGUACCGAUAUAAGAAGCCCGGCUAACUUCGUGCCAGCAGCCGC
rnacentral:rRNA from 1 species